UACGUAGGGUGCGAGCGUUGUCCGGAAUUACUGGGCGUAAGAGCUCGUAGGCGGCUUGUCGCGUUGUUCGUGAAAAUUUACCGCUCAACGGUGAACUUGCGGGCGAUACGGGCAGGCUAGAGUACUGCAGGGGAGACUGGAAUUCCUGGUGUAGCGGUGAAAUGCGCAGAUAUCAGGAGGAACACCGGUGGCGAAGGCGGGUCUCUGGGCAAUAACUGACGCUGAGGAGCGAAAGCGUGGGGAGCGAACAGG
rnacentral:rRNA from 1 species